rnacentral:rRNA from 1 species
ACGGAAGGCAGCAGUGGGGAAUAUUGCACAAUGGGGGAAACCCUGAUGCAGCGACGCCGCGUGAACGAUGAAGUAUUUCGGUAUGUAAAGUUCUAUCAGCAGGGAAGAUAUGACGGUACCUGACUAAGAAGCACCGGCUAAAUACGUGCCAGCAGCCGCGGUAAUACGUAUGGUGCAAGCGUUAUCCGGAUUUACUGGGUGUAAAGGGUGCGUAGGUGGCAUGGCAAGUCUGAAGUGAAAUGCGGGGGCUCAACCCCUGAACUGCUUUGGAAACUGUCAAGCUUGAGUACAGGAGAGGAAAGCGGAAUUCCUAGUGUAGCGGUGAAAUGCGUAGAUAUUAGGAGGAACACCAGUGGCGAAGGCGGCUUUCUGGACUGUAACUGACACUGAGGCACGAAAGCGUGGGGAGCAAACAGGAUUAGAUACCCUGGUA